rnacentral:rRNA from 1 species
AACGAACGCUGGCGGCGUGCCUAACACAUGCAAGUCGUGCGAGAAAGUUCCUUCGGGAGCGAGUAAAGCGGCGCACGGGUGAGUAACACGUAGGUAACCUGCCCCCCAGUCUGGAACAACUAGAGGAAACUCUAGCUAAUGCCGGAUGAGACCACGAUCCCUUCGGGGGUUGCGGCCAAAGAUGGCCUCUACUUGUAAGCUAUCGCUGAGGGAUGGGCCUGCGGGCCAUUAGCUUGUGGUGAGGUAACGGCUCACCAAGGCUGUGAUGGCUAGCUGGUCUG